CCUACGGGAGGCAGCAGUGGGGAAUUUUGGACAAUGGGCGCAAGCCUGAUCCAGCAAUGCCGCGUGAGUGAAGAAGGCCUUCGGGUUGUAAAGCUCUUUUGUCAGGGAAGAAACGGUCUACUCUAAUACAGUGGGCUAAUGACGGUACCUGAAGAAUAAGCACCGGCUAACUACGUGCCAGCAGCCGCGGUAAUACGUAGGGUGCAAGCGUUAAUCGGAAUUACUGGGCGUAAAGCGUGCGCAGGCGGUUAUAUAAGUCAGAUGUGAAAUCCCCGGGCUCAACCUGGGAACUGCAUUUGAGACUGUAUGGCUAGAGUGUGUCAGAGGGGGGUAGAAUUCCACGUGUAGCAGUGAAAUGCGUAGAUAUGUGGAGGAAUACCGAUGGCGAAGGCAGCCCCCUGGGAUAACACUGACGCUCAUGCACGAAAGCGUGGGGAGCAAACAGGAUUAGAUACCCUGGUAGUCCACGCCCUAAACGAUGUCUACUAGUUGUCGGGACUUAAUUGUCUUGGUAACGCAGCUAACGCGUGAAGUAGACCGCCUGGGGAGUACGGUCGCAAGNUUAAAACUCAAAGUAUAGUACGCGNGAGAGAGCGACGAGACGACGAGGAGGAGGAGG
rnacentral:rRNA from 1 species